rnacentral:rRNA from 1 species
GGGGAAUUUUGGACAAUGGGCGAAAGCCUGAUCCAGCCAUGCCGCGUGUCUGAAGAAGGCCUUCGGGUUGUAAAGGACUUUUGUCAGGGAAGAAAAGGGCGGGGUUAAUACCCCUGUCUGAUGACGGUACCUGAAGAAUAAGCACCGGCUAACUACGUGCCAGCAGCCGCGGUAAUACGUAGGGUGCGAGCGUUAAUCGGAAUUACUGGGCGUAAAGCGGGCGCAGACGGUUACUUAAGCAGGAUGUGAAAUCCCCGGGCUCAACCUGGGAACUGCGUUCUGAACUGGGUGACUAGAGUGUGUCAGAGGGAGGUAGAAUUCCACGUGUAGCAGUGAAAUGCGUAGAGAUGUGGAGGAAUACCGAUGGCGAAGGCAGCCUCCUGGGAUAACACUGACGUUCAUGCCCGAAAGCGUGGGUAGCAAACAGGAUUAGAUACCCUGGUAGUCCACGCCCUAAACGAUGUCGAUUAGCUGUUGGGCAGCAUGACUGCUUAGUAGCGAAGCUAACGCGUGAAAUCGACCGCCUGGGGAGUACGGUCGCAAGAUUA